GACGAACCGUGCGAACGUUAUUCGGAAUCACUGGGCUUAAAGGGCGCGUAGGCGGGCCGCAUAGUCAGGGGUGAAAUCCUCCAGCUUAACUGGAGAAGUGCCUCUGAUACUGGCGGCCUCGAGGGGUGCAGGGGCGUGCGGAACUUAGGGUGGAGCGGUGAAAUGCGUAGAUAUCCUAAGGAACACCGGUGGCGAAGGCGGCUUUCUGGACAGAUACCGACGCUGAGGCACGAAAGCUAGGGGAGCAAACGGG
rnacentral:rRNA from 1 species